AUAUAUUCUAUGAUGAGUCCAUAGUUCAACUGAUUUAGAAUGAAGAAUUUUCAUAAUGUCUUUCGCUCCUAUCUGAGAAUUUGA